UUAAUUGCUCCGCCGUUAUUAUUAGGCAAAACCGUCUGUACCGAGCCUUUACCAAAAGACUGUUGGCCCAUGAUGACGGCCCUUUUUUGGUCUUGCAGAGCACCCGCGACAAUUUCCGAUGCCGAUGCAGACCCACCAUUAAUUAAUACAACGAUAGGAGCGCCUUUAAUAGAGUCACCUGGCUUUGCUUUAAACCGCAUUUUUGAAUUUUCAACUCGACCUUCGGUAUAGACAAUCAAACCUGAGGUUAAAAAGGCAUCGCUAACCGCAACCGCCGCGUUUAGAAGACCGCCGGGGUUAUUCCUUAG
rnacentral:ncRNA from 1 species